UUAAGUUUUGUCUUGACUCUUAAUAAGGUACCUUCACGAAUAAUAACUAUACAUCCUGUUCUUUGAACGUACUAUAGAAUACUGUCGUGUAGGGAUGUUUUCUCUUGUCUCUGAUGUUUUGAUGUGCCAAGCCUUGAUUCAUUGUGUUCGAAUAUACUUACUUUGUUCGUUUGAUCUUUUGCGUACCAAGUGUCAACUUGGGGGUCAUCAACUAUGUUGUGCGUCCAUAGUACGACUAACGCGUACAGUGUGAACAUCCAGAACAUCCAGCUUUAAAGUCAUGCUCCAGGACGGUAGUGGGAGGUACUAGUACAGGAAUUUUCGUGGUGGCGAACCCUAGUAUCCGUCGUGCACGAGGACUACGCCCUGUUACUAUAGGUUGUUCAUACCGGGACCCCAGAGUUCGUAGAAGAACUAACGACGUCACUGAAGCGAGAAGAAGCAGUGUGCUUGACGGCCUUGCAACUUAGGAAAUCGUUAGCAGUGUUUUAGACCUAUAUAGAGUGAGAGUAAAAGACCCAACGGUUCCAUACACACGCGGGCCAACCGGAACAUUUUGGAUAGGAGGGUGACGUGGUGGUAAGGGUCUACGACCAACAAGUUAUAGUAGUGGAAGUGACCCUCCAAGAGUUAUGCCUAGUUGCGGUUGAGGACUUACAAGUACUCCUUUGAUGGUAGGGGUAGUUACAGUUGUUGACAUUGUGGACCCAACCGGUGUCGUCGCGGUCGACGUCGACCGUUGGGUUUAGGGUAACGUGGGUUUGGCCUACUUCUGUCGGUGACGGCACCGGCGAACAUUCACAUUAUGACUCGGCGGGUGUAGACUACGACGGGUUGUGGCCACCGUUACUAGCGGAGGGGAAAACAGUCGAGUAGGUCAUGGACCUAUCGUAUAACGCCGCCCUACCGGAGUGGUUUUCAGAACUUAGGAUCUCCUUUGAGGGAGAAGACGACUAGGUUGAGGAACACGGUACCUGGUUUUAGGUCUGGGACAACACGAAACGAGGGUAAAUUAUCUCGUAAGUUGGGGACAUUUCGUUCGAAUUGUAGACGUGUUUACCUCUGUACACCGACGAACAAGAACGGUUAGAGUCGACCCAGUUACAGUUACACGUGUUAGAACCUGGACGAACGUUUUCGGAGCUAAAAGGGCCAGUGUGCUAGUAGUUUGGCGUGUGGUUUACGUUCGUUGUCCAGUCGGAAUAGAUGACGUAUUAAACGUAUGUGUCACGGUACGUAGGGGUCGUACGCGUCUCUGUCACCCAGCAGUGACCCCUUCAACGGUUCCGGGUAUUCUCAUCAACAUUGACCUUAGGGUCACUCGAGUUGUUUCGCCCGACCACCGCGCCCUCUCCGACCGCCCGCCCAAACCCAUACCGCCGCCGCCGCCGCCGCCGCGGGCUCUUACGCUGCCGCCCCCUCCACCGACGCCGGUACCGCCGCCGCUCCCAAACCCGCUCCCUCUCUAAAGACACUCCGUC
rnacentral:rRNA from 1 species